rnacentral:rRNA from 1 species
CGAACGGGUGAGUAGUGCGUCGGAACGUACCGAGUAAUGGGGGAUAACGCAGCGAAAGCUGUGCUAAUACCGCAUACGCCCUGAGGGGGAAAGUGGGGGAUCGCAAGACCUCACGUUAUUCGAGCGGCCGACGUCUGAUUAGCUAGUUGGUGGGGUAAUGGCUCACCAAGGCGACGAUCAGUAGCGGGUCUGAGAGGAUGAUCCGUCACACUGGAACUGAGACACGGUCCAG